AUUUGAUUGGGAUUCCAGAUUAUCCCAACCUCUUCAAGCAAUAAGAGAAGAUAUUUUCUGAGUGUUAGGGGCUUCCACUGGCCUCUGAAAUCAAACCAACUAGGUGAUGGCCCACUGUAUUUAUGUGUAAUUCUACUCCCCUUCAUGGAGACCACUGACUCAAACCGGGUCCAAAUCAAUGGCAGCAGGCAUAGUGGCUGCCUGCUCUCUCUUUGGUCUUAUUGUAGUUGAGGGGGUGAUUUAUUUCAUUUCCUAUUUCUUGUGCAAGGAUGCCCAAGUCACAAACUCCCCAUGGUCAGUUCUGUCACUAAUUAACACCCCUGUUGGAACUCAGACACAAAGGACUGAAUAGCACAAGGAGAAAAGCCUCACCCUCCUGAGUGGUCCUUUUACAGAAAUGUUGACACAUCCUGGGGAGUAAGAUAAAAGAGAUUUGGAAUAGAACUCUUUAAGCCAUGUCCCUCUGCUGGAGAUUAAUAGGGUAAGUAUUUAAAUUCACUGGAAUUUUUUUUAGCCUAUCUAGAAAGCUGGGUAUGGAAUGUAACAUGAACUUACAGAUACAAUUCCAAGGACAGCCUGUCUGCUCAAGUGUCAUGCUUUUGAUUUACAGUUGCAGUAGCAGGAGCUGCAUGAAUUUCAAAUGAUGUGAUCAUAUUCUAUCAAUUCCUUGGGCUCCAGCAAGAGUGAAUCCUGGGUAGAGCAUUUGCAGUGUCUUACAAUGAUGAAUACACCAGGUUGUGAGAGAUGUUGAGUGUCACACUAAGGUCUUCUGACCUGUCAUCCUGCCCUCAAUCAACUAUAAUCACCUCUACCAUGAUAGAUGUUAUGAUGGAGAAGAUCCAGCAGAGAGACCAAAAUGAAAACAGAGUUCCUGUGGAUAUGAAGGUCUUCCAGAUGCUCCUGAUUUUGGAUGACACGAUGCUGGUUGCACCAAGUCCCAGAACAUUGUAGACACUCCUGGAAGAGAUCAGUAACCACUGAAAAAAAAAUUUGCCCUGAAAAUCCACAUGGGAAAGACCUUGUGGGUGAAGAAUGAAAGUACUGCUCAGCUUAUGAUAUGCAUUUAAAUAGACAACCUAUGAAGCUAGUCCAUCAAUAUGCAUAUUUAGUACAAAAAAAAAUUGGUUGAGCCCGGAAUUUAACAAGAGAAGAAAGAACUGGAUUGCCUUAAAGAGAUACAAAAUUCCUUUAAUGAGCUUUUCCUAGAAGAGAAAAAGACUCUCUCUCUGUCUAUACACACACACACACACACACACACACACACAUAUAUUAUUACCAACAUUUUGCCAGUAUUGUUGAAUGGCUUCAGGACAUGGGACAAAAACAUCUCCAAAAAAAUUGAAAAUGAAAAUCACACUCAGAGCAAUGAAGAGAUAGAUGAUGGGUGGGAGCAGGCCAUAACAUACAACCCAAUGAAGAACUUCAAAGAACAAAAGUAAAAUGUCAUCAAGGGAACGUAUAAUAGGAAAAGAAAGAUGGGCUAGUCAAAUGGAAGGGUAAGGAAUAAUAGUUGGACAGUCAGUGCUCUGCUAGUAUCCUCAUGAUGUCAGGAGAAAGUGAGAAAUGCCCCCAUCAUGUUGGAUGGAUCCUCAGUGAUAGAUUUAUGGAGGAGAUGAACAAGAAAAACACAGGAUGAGCAGGCAUGGAUUGGUUGAAAUCUGCAUUGUUGGAAAGAACAUCCAAAUUGUUGAGAUCAUAGAUCCAUUUGAGUAUUUUAGCGCUGAAUCAUUAUCUAUAUGAUUCUCUUGAUUCUUCAUUCAUUUUGGAUGAGUUCACAUAAGUCUUCACAUGUUUUUUCUAAACUCCUUAUAUUCACCAUUUCUUUUAGCACAAUAAUAUUCCAUUAAAACCGUGUCCCGCAAUGUAUUCAGACAUUUAUUCUCCAGUUGAUGAGCACUCAGACUUUUGUUCCUACAAAACAUGUUGCAUUAAUUAUUUUGCUGUAGAAGAG
rnacentral:lncRNA from 1 species